UGGUUCUGGCAUCGAUGAAGAACGCAGCGAAAUGCGAUAAGUAAUGUGAAUUGCAGAAUUCAGCGAAUCAUCGAAUCUUUGAACGCACAUUGCGCCUGCUAGUAUUCUGGCAGGCAUGCCUGUCCGAGCGUCAUUUCAAUCUUCAAGCCCUACUGUGGUUUGGUGUUGGAGUGCCUGUAGCAUUAGUGCUUAGGGGCUCUGAAAGUCGGUGGCGGGCCUGUUGGGUCUCCCAGUGUAGUAUAUUUUCUUGCUCUUGGAACCUAACUGGUAGGCUUAAUUGCUUCCUAGCCAUUAAACCCUUACUGGAAUCAAUUUAACCUCGGAUCAGGUAGGAUUACCCGCUGA
rnacentral:misc_RNA from 1 species